GCGUCGCCCGGCAUCCGGUUUGGCGGUUGCCCGCUGACUCUUAAUCAGCGGGUCCGGGGUUCGAGUCCCUGGCGGCGCA
rnacentral:tRNA from 1 species